rnacentral:rRNA from 1 species
UACGGGGGGAGCAAGCGUUGUUCGGAUUUACUGGGCGUAAAGGGCGCGUAGGCGGUAGCACAAGUCAGUUGUGAAAUCUCCGGGCUUAACUCGGAAAGGUCAACUGAUACUGUGCGACUAGAGUGCAGAAGGGGCAACUGGAAUUCUCGGUGUAGCGGUGAAAUGCGUAGAUAUCGAGAGGAACACCUGCGGCGAAGGCGGGUUGCUGGGCUGACACUGACGCUGAGUC